rnacentral:lncRNA from 1 species
UCAAUUAUACAGGAAUUAAUUUACUAACUAGAAUACAAAAUCUGAAAAUGAAAACCCAGAAAGCAUUAUGAGAAAAUUGUUGAAAGUCGGGACAUUAGUUACCUGGAAAAGCACUGAGGCUCACAUUUCCUCUGGAUGUCCACUUGGGAUUGCACAAGCUGCUAGAAGACACCCUUUGGUUCUUGCAUGUGGCCCCUUUCUGUCUUCAAAGGCAGCAACAAUACACUGAACCCUUCUUGUGAUUCAAAUCACUUUGACUUCUCGGGCUGCAAGCCAGAACUAUGGUGUGCAGCCUGGAUGCACCAAGCCAAGAUCUGCAGUGAGCACUCAAGUGGGAGAGGAGCCUACACUGACUUUCAAAACAUUGAGAGGAAGCAUAGCUGCAACCCAUGAGGAAAUACGGAGGAGCCACAUGACUGAGCAGGAGCCUACACAGUGACCAUUACACUUCAGCACCAGCUACUAGAUCACACCCCAAAACUUCAACACCAAUAAUACUUUGCUAUCAUACCCUGCUGUGAAAAGAAAGACAAGAAUUUAGCUACAAAUAAAGGCCCUAAACAAAGCCUUAGGACUCUGAAAACAUGGAAAGAAGUCUACUGACUGUACUCAAUUUACACUGCAAUUAAAGGAACACCCACACACACACACACACACAG